AAUUGAGUUAUUCAUAAAAUGUGUUACGAUUAUACCUUCAAAAUCACUAAUUGAUUGUUGUUCAAAAUUUGAAUAUCCCCAAUUCAGUUUUGAGUAAUUUUGGAUAGCCAAUAUACAGAUGAAAACUAAAACUCGAUUAUUCAGCUCUGUAUAAAAAGUUUGCUGCUUGUUGGAAAGCUUUGGACGGGGAUGUCAAAGCAUACACAUUUUUCAAAUUCGCUACCGAUUGUCACGAUGAUUUCAAUUUUCAUAGUUUUUGCAUUGAAAUUAUCGUGAAUAUCUAACGAAAGGUAUGUAUUCUUAUGAUUUUACUGCAAUGUUUGACCUUAACUAUGAUUUCAGGGAUAUUGUCCAGCACUGUUGCUGAAUUCGGAUGUUUCCCUUAAUCGGUCUUCACAGUAGUCGGAAGAAGGAAUCGGUCGUGCAAGAAACUGUUCCGGAAAGUCGAAAGAAUCCAUCUGAACGUCUCAAUAUUUCUUCUUAAAAUAUUGAAGUUCUUAUUCACAACGAGCGCACAAAAUUUCCCAGAAUAGAAAAAAAGGAUUCAAAGGUAAAUGCACCUUAACAUGGAGGUCACAUCACGAUGUAAAUCGAGAAGAUGCCAGUAAAACGUACCCGCCUGCCGAAUGCCAUUCGAUUCUGUCGGCUUGUGGGCAACUCAUCGGAAAUGUUCAAAAGAUACACUACAUACUCUGGUGGAUCGUAAGCAAAUCCGUGCCGGAUGAUGGGACUGGUGUCCCGGAUUGAUUUAUUCGACCUUCCAAAAGAAAAGUAAUCGGAGACGGCAAGGAAACACGAAGCUUUGUAGCAGAAGAUGAGGAACAAUCUUCGACGACGAGCGCCACAAAGGAAUCGCAAAUGACGACCAAACACUUAGCUUGCAGGCGUUGAAGCUAUAUGGAUCCGUUAACACCGUUCAAA